UUUGUCAUUGAUGAUUACUUCAACCCUCGUUUGAGUUUAACGACCAUGAGAAAACUUACAUGCACUACCAUCUGAGACAAA